GUGGAGGGUCAUUGGAAACUGGAGGACUUGAGUGCAGAAGAGGAGAGUGGAAUUCCACGUGUAGCGGUGAAAUGCGUAGAGAUGUGGAGGAACACCAGUGGCGAAGGCGACUCUCUGGUCUGUAACUGACGCUGAGGCGCGAAAGCGUGGGUAGCGAACAGGAUUAGAUACCCUGGUAGUCCACGCCGUAAACGAUGAGUGCUAAGUGUUAGAGGGUUUCCGCCCUUUAGUGCUGCAGUUAACGCAUUAAGCACUCCGCCUGGGGAGUACGGCCGCAAGGCUGAAACUCAAAGGAAUUGACGGGGGCCCGCACAAGCGGUGGAGCAUGUGGUUUAAUUCGAAGCAACGCGAAGAACCUUACCAGGUCUUGACAUCCCGCUGACCGGUAUAGAGAUAUACCUUUCCCUUCGGGGACAGCGGUGACAGGUGGUGCAUGGUUGUCGUCAGCUCGUGUCGUGAGAUGUUGGGUUAAGUCCCGCAACGAGCGCAACCCUUAAUCUUAGUUGCCAGCAUUCAGUUGGGCACUCUAAGGUGACUGCCGGUGACAAACCGGAGGAAGGUGGGGAUGACGUCAAAUCAUCAUGCCCCUUAUGACCUGGGCUACACACGUGCUACAAUGGAUGGUACAAAGGGUCGCAAAACCGCGAGGUCAAGCUAAUCCCAUAAAACCAUUCUCAGUUCGGAUUGCAGGCUGCAACUCGCCUGCAUGAAGCCGGAAUCGCUAGUAAUCGUAGAUCAGAAUGCUACGGUGAAUACGUUCCCGGGCCUUGUACACACCGCCCGUCACACCACGAGAGUUUGUAACACCCGAAGUCGGUGGGGUAACCCUUACGGGAGCUAGCCGCCGAAGGUGGGACAGAUGAUUGGGGUGAAGUCGUAACAAGGUAACC
rnacentral:rRNA from 1 species